rnacentral:snRNA from 12 species
UUACUUACCUGGCAGGGAAGAUGCCAUGAUCAGGCGGGCAGUUUCCCCAGGGCAAGGCUCAUUCCCUGCACUCCGAGUGUGCUGAUCCCUGCAAUUUCCCCAUAUGUGGGAAACUCAAAACUCGACCUGCU